rnacentral:lncRNA from 1 species
AUGUGCAGGCUGAAUAAAUUUGACACCUUCCGGAAGAUUGUUGUUGAAGAGCUUGCCAGCCUUGAGAAGGAUACUCAAAUUCUGGCAGCUAUGGAGAAGGAAGCACUGGUGUGUACAGCUUCUUGUGUGCCAGCCCAAAGAGGUGCCUCUUCCCAGGUAACAGGGGGUUUCUUUGCGGUCUUUUUAGGAUUUCUGGAACGCGCAGCUGCUCAAACUGAAUACGUUCUACAACCAGCAGAAGGAAAGAAUUGA